rnacentral:rRNA from 1 species
UGGCUCAGAACGAACGCUGGCGGCAGGCUUAACACAUGCAAGUCGAACGGCCUCUUCGGAGGCAGUGGCAGACGGGUGAGUAACGCGUGGGAACAUACCUUUCGGUACGGAACAACAGUUGGAAACGACUGCUAAUACCGUAUACGCCCUGAGGGGGAAAGAUUUAUCGCCGAGAGAUUGGCCCGCGUUGGAUUAGCUAGUUGGUGGGGUAAUGGCCUACCAAGGCGACGAUCCAUAGCUGGUCUGAGAGGAUGAUCAGCCACACUGGGACUGAGACACGGCCCAGACUCCUACGGGAGGCAGCAGUGGGGAAUAUUGGACAAUGGGCGCAAGCCUGAUCCAGCCAUGCCGCGUGAGUGAUGAAGGCCUUAGGGUUGUAAAGCUCUUUCGCCGGUGAAGAUAAUGACGGUAACCGGUAAAGAAGCCCCGGCUAACUUCGUGCCAGCAGCCGCGGUAAUACGAAGGGGGCUAGCGUUGUUCGGAAUUACUGGGCGUAAAGCGCACGUAGGCUGACUUUUAAGUCAGGGGUGAAAUCCCGGGGCUCAACCUCGGAACUGCCUUUGAUACUGGAAGUCUUGAGUCCGAGAGAGGUGAGUGGAACUCCGAGUGUAGAGGUGAAAUUCGUAGAUAUUCGGAAGAACACCAGUGGCGAAGGCG